rnacentral:rRNA from 1 species
GAUGAACGCUGGCGGCGUGCCUAAUACAUGCAAGUCGAGCGAACAGACGAGGAGCUUGCUCCUCUGACGUUAGCGGCGGACGGGUGAGUAACACGUGGAUAACCUACCUAUAAGACUGGGAUAACUUCGGGAAACCGGAGCUAAUACCGGAUAACAUGUUGAACCGCAUGGUUCAACAGUGAAAGACGGUCUUGCUGUCACUUAUAGAUGGAUCCGCGCCGCAUUAGCUAGUUGGUAAGGUAACGGCUUACCAAGGCAACGAUGCGUAGCCGACCUGAGAGGGUGAUCGGCCACACUGGAACUGAGACACGGUCCAGACUCCUACGGGAGGCAGCAGUAGGAAAUCUUCCGCAAAGGGCGAAAGCCUGACGGAGCAACGCCGCGUGAGUGAAGAAGGUCUUCGGAUCGUAAAACUCUGUUAUUAGGGAAGAACAAAUGUGUAAGUAACUAUGCACGUCUUGACGGUACCUAAUCAGAAAGCCACGGCUAACUACGUG